ensembl:snRNA U6 U6 spliceosomal RNA
AUGCAAAUUCACGAAGCGUUCCAUAUUUUUAAAAAUUGGAACAAUACAGAGAAGAUUAGUAUAGUCCUUACAAAAGGAUUUAGAUAUACACUUGUCAUUAUA